rnacentral:rRNA from 1 species
UACGGGGGGAGCAAGCGUUGUUCGGAUUUACUGGGCGUAAAGGGCGCGUAGGCGGCCUGUGCAAGUCAGUUGUGAAAUCUCCGAGCUUAACUCGGAACGGUCAACUGAUACUGCUCGGCUAGAGUGCGGAAGGGGCAACUGGAAUUCUUGGUGUAGCGGUGAAAUGCGUAGAUAUCAAGAGGAACACCUGCGGCGAAGGCGGGUUGCUGGGCCGACACUGACGCUGAGGCGCGAAAGCUAGGGGAGCGAAACGGG